GCCCGGGCGGCUGGCAGCCUGACUGCGAGGAGCCGCGCUCGGGGCCUGUGUGGGACGGUUUAUAGAAAAGAACGGCACUUCCCGGGAGAUAACUAACACAGUUGCCAAAUUUUGCCUUCCGCCGUGUGGGAUAUGCAAGCGGUUCACUCAGCCUCAAUAACUUACUUCCUUGACAAUGGAAGGUGUCACCUCUCUGACCCUCCUACAAGCUGCGCCCGCAGUUCUGUGCUCAUCCUACUACAAUGUGCCCUCCCUAUCCUUAUUUUUAUUGUUUUUAUUCUACUUUUAUUCACCGGAGGGGAUUCUGUAUGGAAAUAAAUUGAUUGAUUGAUUGA